UACAGAGGUCUCAAGCGUUGUUCGGAUUUACUGGGCGUAAAGGGCGCGUAGGCGGCGCGUAAAGUCGGACAUGAAAUCAUUGGGCUUAACCCAAUGGCUGUGCCCGAUACUUGCGUGCUUAGAGUGCGGGAGAGGCAAUCGGAAUUCUCGGUGUAGCGGUGAAAUGCGUAGAUAUCGAGAGGAACUCCAGUGACGAAGGUGGGUUGCUGGGCCGACACUGACGCUGAGGCGCGAAAGCUAGGGGAGCAAACGGG
rnacentral:rRNA from 1 species